rnacentral:rRNA from 1 species
GUUGAUCCGGGGCCGACGGGCGGGGUAAUACAGUGGGUGCGGGCGUGGGCCGGAACUGCUUGGGGUAAAGGGGCGGAGGGGGGCGGGGUAAGCGGGGGGGGAAAGUCCGGGGCGCAACUCCGGAUCGGCCGUGCGUACUGUCUCGCUGGAGCGUAGUAGAGGAAGGUGGAAUUCCGGGUGUAGCGGUGGAAUGCGUAGAGAUCCGGAAGAACACCGGUGGCGAAGGCGGCCUGCUGGGCUACUGCUGACACUGAGGCGCGACAGCGUGGGGAGCAAACAGGAUUAGGUACCCGAGUAGUC